CACCACAACUACUUCUGCACCCACAACAACUACAGCUGCUCCAACCACAAUUACUGCUUCUCCCACCACAACUACUACUGCACCCACAACAGUUUAUCCAACCACAACUACAGCUGCUCCAACAACUACAGCUGCACCCACCACGACUACAGCUGCUCGAUCCACAACCACAAAUGCUCCAUCCAAAACUACAACUGCUCUAACCACAACCACUGCUGCUCCAACCACAACUUUUGCUGCUCAGACCACAACUACAGCUGCUCCAUUAUCUACUACAAAUCCUUUAACACUGCCCACUUUAGGGACUAGUCCUUUAAGCACAACAGAAGAGGCAAAGAUUUUACGUCGAUUGACUUUCAGGUCUCCUUUCGAUACCUUUAUUGAUGGUUUAGAAAAUGAAUCAUCAGAGACUUUCCGAUCCCGCUCUAGCAGAAUAACAAGACGUAUUGAACCACUCUACAAAAAAGCUUUUCUGUCAUUUUUGGGAUUGACAGUUGUAUCAUUCAGGAGAGGAUCAAUCAUCAACUCAAUGGACCUCGA